UACGAAGGGGGGCUAGCGUUGCUCGGAAUGACUGGGCGUAAAGGGCGCGUAGGCGGAUGGCACAGUCAGAUGUGAAAUUCCCGGGCUUAACCUGGGGGGCUGCAUUUGAUACGUGUUGUCUUGAGUUCGGAAGAGGGUCGUGGAAUUCCCAGUGUAGAGGUGAAAUUCGUAGAUAUUGGGAAGAACACCAGUGGCGAAGGCGGCGCCUGGUCCCGACACUGACGCUGAGGCGCGAAAAGCGGUGGGGGAGCAAA
rnacentral:rRNA from 1 species